UGGCACAGUGAAUGAAUACCCGUGUAUUUUAUAGUUCCCUUGGCUUUGAUUCUGUGCUAGAGAAACAUCUGUCCUUUUCUGCUGAAUUGAAAGGACUAUUUAUCCUUUUAAAUGCAUUCAGAAAGCCAGCACAUUA